GGGGAUGUAGUUCAGAUGGUAGAAUGCUUGCUUAGCAUGCAAGAGGUACGGGGGUCGAUACCUCAUAUUUUCA
rnacentral:tRNA from 1 species